rnacentral:rRNA from 1 species
AUGCCCCUACGGGGCGCAGCAGUAGGGAAUCUUCCACAAUGGGCGAAAUCCUGAUGGAGCAACGCCUCGUGGGUGAAGAAGGUCUUCGGAUCGUAAAACCCUGUUGUUAGAGAAGAAAGUGCGUGAGGGUAACUGUUCACGUUUCGACGGUAUCUAACCAGAAAGCCACGGCUAACUACGUGCCAGCAGCCGCGGUAAUACGUAGGUGGCAAGCGUUAUCCGGAUUUAUUGGGCGUAAAGAGAACGCAGGCGGUCUUUUAGGUCUUAUGUGAAAGCCUUCGGCUUAACCGGAGUAGUGCAUUGGG